rnacentral:tRNA from 1 species
CGUUGGCUGGCGCGGGGGCGCCGUUGUUUCUCAAACGCCGCGCUCAGUGCGCCGCCCAUUGAAUGCUGUUCAGAUCCACGCCGUCCU